rnacentral:rRNA from 1 species
AGGACGAACGCUGGCGGCGUGCUUAACACAUGCAAGUGGAGCGACGAACCAGGGCUUGCCCUGGGGCAGAGCCGCGAACGGGUGAGUAACACGUGGGUUACCUGCCUCGAUGACCGGGACAACCCGAGGAAACUCGGGCUAAUACCGGAUGUGCCCGCAAGGGGAAAGGAAGCUUCGGCCUCCGCAUCGAGAUGGGCCCGCGGCCCAUUAGCUUGUUGGUGAGGUAACGGCUCACCAAGGCUUCGAUGGGUAGCUGGUCUGAGAGGACGAUCAGCCACACUGGGACUGAGUACACGGCCCAGACUCCUACGGGAGGCAGCAGUGGGGAAUCUUGCGCAAUGCGCGAAAGCGUGACGCAGCAACGCCGCGUGGGGGAAGAAGGCUUUCGGGUUGUAAACCCCUUUCAGUUGGGACGAAGCUUCUCCGGUGAAUAGCCGGACGGAGUGACGGUACCUUCACAAGAAGCACCGGCUAACUACGUGCCAGCAGCCGCGGU